UACGUAGGGGGCAAGCGUUGUCCGGAAUUAUUGGGCGUAAAGAGCGUGUAGGCGGUCCGGUAAGUCAGCUGUGAAAGUCAGGGGCUCAACCCCUGAUCGGCCGUGCGAACUGGGGAGCUUGAGCACUGUAGAGGCAGGCGGAAUUCCGGGUGUAGCGGUGGAAUGCGUAGAGAUCCGGAAGAACACCGGUGGCGCAGGCGGCCUGCUGGGCAGUUUUGCUGACACUGAGGCGCGACAGCGUGGGGAGCAAACAGG
rnacentral:rRNA from 1 species